UCCAGACUCCUACGGGAGGCAGCAGUGAGGAAUAUUGGUCAAUGGCCGAGAGGCUGAACCAGCCAAGUCGCGUGAGGGAUGACGGCCCUACGGGUUGUAAACCUCUUUUGCCGGGGAGCAAAGAGCGGGACGCGUCCCGCCUCGAGAGUACCCGGAGAAAAAGCAUCGGCUAACUCCGUGCCAGCAGCCGCGGUAAUACGGAGGAUGCGAGCGUUAUCCGGAUUUAUUGGGUUUAAAGGGUGCGCAGGCGGAGUUUUAAGUCAGCGGUCAAAUCGUGGGGCUCAACCCCAUCCAGCCGUUGAAACUGGGGAUCUAGAGUGUGCGAGAGGUAUGCGGAAUGCGUGGUGUAGCGGUGAAAUGCAUAGAUAUCACGCAGAACUCCGAUUGCGAAGGCAGCAUGCCGGCUCCACACUGACGCUGAGGCACGAAAGCGUGGGUAUCGAACAGGAUUAGAUACCCCGGUACUG
rnacentral:rRNA from 1 species